GACGUAGGGCGCGAGCGUUGUCCGGAUUUAUUGGGCGUAAAGAGCUCGUAGGCGGCUUGUUGCGUCGGUUGUGAAAACUGGAGGCUCAACCUUCAGAGGUCGACCGAAACCAUCUGGCUAGAGUCCGGGAGAGGAGAGUGGAAUUCCUGGUGUAGCGGUGAAAUGCGCAGAUAUCAGGAAGAACACCCGUGGCGAAAGCGGCUCUCUGGAACGGUACUGACGCUGAGACGCGAAAGCGUGGGGAGCGAACAGG
rnacentral:rRNA from 1 species